GACGCGGAGUUCCUAAAGCAACGACCAAUCGGCGAGCAGCAGGGCUUUCAUAACCUCAGAGCGCUAUACAGAGAGUAGGAGGAGGGAGAGGAUGGGGUGGUGGGUGGGUGUAGGAGAGUGUGUGUGUGGUGAGUGUGUAGGAGAGUGUGUGUGUGUGUGUGUCAAUUUUUUAAGCAUACAAUAUAACUCAGUAUUUGAAUGAUUUAUUUUGUAUUUUUUGAUAAUCUUUAUCAAGAUGGACCUGACUGUAUCCUUCCCAGUCAAACCCAACUGACACCUAACGACUAACCACUGAGUCAACAGGUGAAUCAUUCCCAGGCCCAGUCAACCCCACCUGACUACUAACCACUGAGCCAACAGGUGAAUCAUUCCCAGGCCCAGUCAACCCCACCUGACUACUAACCACUGAGCCAACAGGUGAAUCAUUCCCAGGCCGUCAAACCCACCUGACUACUAACCACUGAGCCAACAGGUGAAUCAUUCCCAGGCCCAGUCAACCCCACCUGACUACUAACCACUGAGCCAACAGGUGAAUCAUUCCCAGGCCCAGUCAAACCCACCUGACUACUAACCACUGAGCCAACAGGUGAAUCAUUCCCAGGCCCAGUCAAACCCACCUGACUAACCACUGAGCCAACAGGUGAAUCAUUCCCAGGCCCAGUCAAACCCACAUGACUACUAACCACUGAGCCAACAGGUGAAUCAUUCCCAGGCCCAGUCAAACCCACCUGACUACUAACCACUGAGCCAACAGGUGAAUCAUUCCCAGGCCCAGUCAAACCCACCUGACUAACCACUGAGCCAACAGGUGAAUCAUUCCCAGGCCCAGUCAAACCCACCUGACUAACCACUGAGCCAACAGGUGAAUCAUUCCCAGGCCCAGUCAAACCCACCUGACUACUAACCACUGAGCCAACAGGUGAAUCAUUCCCAGGCCCAGUCAACCCCACCUGACUACUAACCACUGAGCCAACAGGUGAAUCAUUCCCAGGCCCAGUCAAACCCACCUGACUACUAACCACUGAGCCAACAGGUGAAUCAUUCCCAGGCCCAGUCAAACCCACCUGACACCUAUUCUGAUCCAAACUCAUUUAUUCUGUCUGGACAAAACAACCGGUGUUGUUCUGAUCCAAACUCAUUUAUUCUGUCUGGACAAAACAACCGGUGUUGUUCUGAUCCAAACUCAUGUAUUCUGUCAGGACAAAACAACCGGUGUUGUUCUGAUCCAAACUCAUUUAUUCUGUCAGGACAAAACAGGCGGUGUUCCGAUCCAAACUCAUUUAUUCUGUCAGGACAAAACAACAGACUCAAAAGAAAUAUUUACACAAGUCAAAUAGAAAACAUAAAGAUGACGUUCUCUCUGGAAGAGAGAGAGGUGUGUGUUACGUCAGAGUGGAGCGAAGGGCAGACUAGUGGAGGUGUGUGUUACGUCAGAGUGGAGCGAAGGGCAGACUAGCGGAGGUGUGUGUUACGUCAGAGUGGAGCGAAGGGCAGACUAGUGGAGGUGUGUGUUACGUCAGAGUGGAGCGAAGGGCAGACUAGUGGAGGUGUGUGUUACGUCAGAGUGGAGCGAAGGGCAGACUAGUGGAGGUGUGUGUUACGUCAGAGUGGAGCGAAGGGCAGACUAGUG